rnacentral:rRNA from 1 species
GAUGAACGCUGGCGGCGUGCCUAAUACAUGCAAGCCGAACGAAACUUCUUUAUCACCGAGUGCUUGCACUCACCGAUAAAGAGUUGAGUGGCGAACGGGUGAGUAACACGUGGGCAACCUGCCCAAAAGAGGGGGAUAACACUUGGAAACAGGUGCUAAUACCGCAUAACCAUAGUUACCGCAUGGUAACUAUGUAAAAGGUGGCUAUACUACCGCUUUUGGAUGGGCCCGCGGCGCAUUAGCUAGUUGGUAGGGUAAAGGCUUACCAAGGCAAUGAUGCGUAGCCGAAUUGAGAGGUUGAUCGGCCACAUUGGGACUGAGACACGGCCCAAACUCCUACGGGAGGCAGCAGUAGGGAAUCUUCCACAAUGGGCGAAAGCCUGAUGGAGCAACGCCGCGUGGGUGAAGAAGGUCUUCGGAUCGUAAAACCCUGUUGUUAGAGAAGAAAGUGCGUGAGAGUAACUGUUCACGUUUCGACGGUAUCUAACCAGAAAGCCACGGCUAACUACGUG